UAUGAGUAGAGACUGAAGUAGCACCGUAUGUUAAUAGUACUUCAGUUAAAAAAAGAAGCAUAAAAACUGAAGCAUUAUACUGAAAAGAAGGGGAAAAAAGAAAAGAAGAAAAAGAAGGAAGAAAAGAAUGAGGGAGGGAGCAAGAGGAAGGGAAGAGGGAAAGAAGGAAAGAAAGAAAGAGAGAGGAAGGAAGAGGGGAGGAAGAGAGGAAAGAAGGGAGGGAGGGCUGAGCAAGCAAAACAAUAGGAGAAACAACCUAAUGGGUCUUCACAGCAGACAGGUGAGCGAGGCCAGGCUUUUGUUUAGAGAGAAAGCUCAUAUGGUGCAGAAGACAGCAAACUUGGUUUGUGAAGUCAUCAUCCCCCCAGGGGCUUUGUUGUGCCUGGUUUUAGGAGAGGCCCAAGAGGGCUCAACGAAGCACAACUAAUAAUAGAAUUAAGAAAAUGAUAGCAAUUUGGGUUAUUUAGCCUAAAAGAAAUGAAGGUUUAAAAAUUGUCUUAAGAGGUUCUAGAUGAAAACACUGACCAAUUGCAAGCCAUUUUCACAGAGGCUAGAAGAAGAAAUGGCCUUAGAUUGAUGAAGAGAGCUUGAAGAAAAGAUCCUCGCCAGGGAGGCUGAUGAUAGCUUGGCAUGGACCGGUAGUGGGCUUGCUCAGCCCUGGGAGGACUGAAUAGAAGAAACACCAUCUGUCCUAGAAGAUCCAGGGAGACUUUCCAGAAGGUUCCUUGAAGUUCCAAUUCUGUGAUGUCUCGAUGAAGGUAUAAACUCACCUAAUCCAUUCCUGAAUGAGCUAUCCUGGAACUCGAAGUGUCUGUGUUGUUGGCCAGGACUGGUCUUGGGAGAGCUGGUGGCCAUCUGUGUGAUGGGAGGGCGGGCUGCCAAAAUACCAUUCCUACCGCUGAGUCAUGCUGUCUGAAAUUCUACCAGGUGACAAUCAUUCUUUGGUCAUCAAGAGCCCAAUGGAGUGCUGAAAAUUCUGAUGUGCAUUCUACACAGCUCCUUAGAAGGGUCCUCACAGGAGGCAAGAUGGAUCAUGUGGCCACCUUCUCUCCUUCCUUGCUUCGUUCCCUUCUGGCCUUGACUCCUGUUUCCUGGGAUCACUCUCCAGAAUAAGCUUCCUUUACAAAAGCCCUUGUCAUAAGUUCUGCUUUCUGUGAGGAACCAUGCUAGACACUAGAGUAAUGUGCUAGAAUUAAGACAUGAAUAUAGAUUGCUAAGGGAUUAUUUGAGUUGUAUAUCUCUAUGAGUGGGGUUCAAAGAGAAGUUUGGGAAGCACUAGACCAGAUGUCUGUUGGAAUCACUGCAUGUAAAAUGAGAAUUGUCAGGUCCCCAAUCUAUUCUAACAGGUUUAUGGGUAUCUGAGUCUAACCAUGAAGAACAGUAGAAGAUUCCCAAGCCUUGUCAAGCCUGCUCAACACCGUGAGUAUGUAUGACAUCCAGAAGAAGCAGAGAGCAAAACAAAACAAAACAUUUUCACAGACAUGUGAAGAUCCCACAAUCUUGGGAGUCUUCUGCACUAUUUCUGGGUCUAAUUAUAAAACUGCAAAUGAUGCUGCCCUCCUCCAAGGAAAUUGUUGACUUGACUCUAGGGCAUGGUCUCUGCCUACAGAUAAAGGUAGAGGAGACCUAGGAAGAGAGCCUCUUCGCUUUUCUCCUGUCCAUCCCUGGGAAGGGUGGCCUUUGCAUUAGCCAGAUUAUUGGCUGGAUGCAGGAUUCUGAAAUCUACUUAACUCCCUGUAGUCUCUCUGUACGUAUAGUGUCUAGGCCAGUGGUUCUCAAAAUGUGAUCCCUGGGCAAGACCAUCUUUUUCUGAAGGCACACUUUCUCCUGAGGUGGUAAGGGGACAGGGUUAGAAAUGCCAAUUCUCGGUUCCCUCCCCAAAUCUCUAGCAGUCUGUCCUGAUAGCUUUCCAGUGAUUCUGAUGCCCGCUUACAUUUGAGAACCGCUUCCUUGGGCUUUUUCCUUCUCACCCAGGCUUGUGUAAGCUUUGGGGGCCUUCAAUGUUGAUUUCACACUCCUUCCCAGAGAAUGGGCUCAGGAAACAAAAGAUGCCUUGAUUAGUCAGGAGGAGAAAAGAGGCUAGAACUGUGUAGGCAGCUCCCCAGCUUCUAAGCAGAUCAUAUUCUGGACUUUGGAAGUCAGCUGUUUGGAAUGUGAGCUGUUUUCCUAGGAAUGGUAGAAAGGUUCCCACGCCAGCACACAGGGCAUAUUUAAUCCUGAAUCUAGCUGAAAUACUGCUGUGUCACAAUGAAAAAGAGCAGAUCACAAUGCUCCAGUAGUAUUAGCAACCACUCAAACAGAAUAAAGUGAUAAAUGAAACACAGAAAUAGUAUUUUAUUUAUGCUCAUGUUGGUGAGUUAAGGAAAGGUGGAUUUGGAGGCAGAAGAAGAGGUAUAAACGGGGAUUUGUCAAGACUGAAGGAGUUGUUGGCUUUCCUCUUUAGAUUGUCAUGAUACUAAUUCCUUUAGUUCGAGUUUUCUUAAAUGUGGUUCUGGACUGUUACUUUUUUUUUUUUUUUUUUUUUUGGAAGGCAAGUUUCACACUAGGAGGGUGUAAAGAAUUCUGAGAAAGUUGGCAAGAGCUAAAAAGCAGAGUGGAAAGAGUAAGGGGAUUAAAGAGAAUGUGGGUGUGUUUUCUGUUAACAUGACCAUCAACAGAGACAGAAUUACCUUGAGUUGUGAGCAGUAAGAGAUGGAUGAGUCAGGAUUUUCUCCCUGACAAAAGAGGAAAGAAAGCAGACAAAAAUUGACCACACAGCUGGUAAGCCAAUUUUCAUUUUGAUAAAUAUUUACCAGUAGAUAGUUGUAUAAGAAAAAAAAACAACCUGGCCGCCUGUUUUGAGAACCUUCUCUCUCAUUGUAUUGCCUUGAGACAAUCACAUUUCAUGGCCCUUGUCCCCUCUCUGACCACCGAUGGGCAAAUGACCAGAAGCCUGACAGUGUCCACUGAUGUGGUGUCAGAAGGUGAUUUGGACCACUCCGCUGUCCUCCUUUCUCCUCCUAGACAUUUGAAAUAAGGAAUGCCCAGAACAUAUAUGUUCAGUCCGUGAUGGGAAGAGGUACAUGGCUAGCUGUGAUCACUUUACACGUUUUCAAAUCAAAUGCUUCUAGCUAGGCUUUCUGUGGUGGCUAAAAUACUUUCUUCCUGGACUCACUAUGCCUUUAUUAACCAUUCUAUUUUUGUAUCAUAUGAAUUAUCAUCACUGAUGGUUGAAUGGCUGGAUUUAGAGAAAUGUGGUAGCCCUAAUGGAAUUAAUUAAUUGAAUAAUAUUGCCUGACAAAUGGCUCUGUAUACCGAAGAGGGCUUGAGACUUAAUUACUGAUGUCAUUUAUCUGUCUAUUUGCACCCCAACAAUAAGCGACUCGUUUCUCAUUAACAUUGGGUCAUUUUCCAAAAGGAAGAAAAGAGGCCAAAAUAUCAGGAAGGGGGAAAAAAAAUCGAUGUCUUUGUUCCCCACCUCAUUAUCCUGAUAAAUCAUAACAGACUCUGUUAAUUAGAUGGGCAGCCUUAACUGGCUGACUCCUGUCCAACAAUUACCUCAGAAAGAAGCACCACUGGGAACAUUGCCUUCCCUUGGGAGGAGAUGAAAGGAAGUCUGUAACAAAAAAAAGGAUCUUUUCCCCAGCCAUGCUGGGGGGAUCACAGUUGUCAAGGCAGAUUUCUAGACCAAAGGGCGGGACCUGUUUCAGGGACAGCGCCUGUGCAUUAUGGCGACGUGGGGUAUCUGACACUGCCUUCCUAAUCUAAGGCUUAGGUAAUGGUGCUCAGUGCCUCCAACUCCCCCGGGGAGAUUAAAGCCUAAUUAAAACAGGGGAACAGGUGUAAGAGGGCCUGAUUUGAUCUGGCCAAAUUAAUUGCUGAGAUUGGGCUUGCAAUUGGUAACUGGAAACAGUGAAUUAACUAUCACCGGAAUACAGCUAAUCCCUUGGUCUCACCGAGACUGUGUAUAAAACAGACUGAACUUGCUGGGAACACAAACACAGAGGGAUUUGAAGUGAAGGUACGAAGCAUCCUUGUGUGGGAAAGCCUCGGCAAUGAGCCUAUGGCCACAGAGGGUGGCCAUACAUCCCAGACUGCCUGCCCGGGAUAGUGCUGGUUUGUGCCUGUUGUCCCUACAAAAUUGUUAAAAGUGCCCCCCUCCGUUCUCAGAAAAAAUGUCCUUGCUUGGACAAUAAAUUAAAUGAUCACUGUAUUUCAAUGUCAAUUUUAAGCUCCUUUUUUUUCUUUACCAGAAGAGUGGUUGAACAGCAUUCCCCCAAAAGGUAUCAAAGUCCUAACCCUCAAUACUUAUGAAAGUGAACUUAUUUGGAAUUUAGGGUCUCUGCAGAUGAUUAAGGUAAGAUGAGGUUAUUAGGGUGGCCUCUGAUCCAAUAUGACUGAUGUCCUUAGAAAAAGGGAUCCUGGGAUAUUUGGACACAGAGGCAUACAUGCCCAUAUGCAGAUUGCCAUGUGACGAUGGAGCCAGAGAUGGACAUGGUGCUUCUCCCAGACCAGCGGUGCCAAAGAUUGCCAGCAAACCCAGGAAAAGCCAAAAGGCAGGUCUGGAAUAAAUCCUUCCUCAUGGCCCUCAGAAGGAACAAACCCUGUGGACACCUCAAUCUAAGACUCCAGCCUUCUAGAGUUCUAGAACUUUGAAUCAGAACAUUUCUGUUGUUCUUAAGCCAUCCAUUUGUGGCAUUUUAUUAUGGCAGCCGUAGCAAACUGAUUUAAGUGGGCACUGGUUUCCAAGUGUCUGAAAACUCUCUCAUUGCUCUUAGUUUGUAUAGUUCACAGAAAUAAGCUGUGUUGGUGGCAAAGACCGGUACCAGGCUGGUGUGAGAAGUCAGUGAACCAACACUGGUUUCUCAGGCCCAGGUGCUGGGGAUGGAUGAAGGAGAAACAGACAUGGAUCCUGGCCUCCAGGAGCCAGCAGUUUGAUGGGAAGGGAGGUAAUGCAGGUGACCUCGUAUUUCCUUAGGUAGAUAUAAAUAUGUAUCGACUAUGCAGAGGAGGGAGGGAAGCACAUCCCUAGGCUGAAAAGAAAAUGCCUUUCGAGAAAGGGACAUCUAACUUGACCUGCUAUGCAAAGGUUACCUGGAUGAAAAAAAAUGAGGGAUUGCAGGAGCAUGUGUGAAGGCCCUUGGGCGAGAGGGAGCCGGAAAUGUACACCGCAUAUCCAGAGAAAUCCAACUGCAGAAGCAGAGAAACUGGAGAGGGUUGAGUUCCAGGUGAAGCCCAGUUCUUCAUCCCAGCCCUCAUCACCCACUUUAUCAGAGGUUUAAAGACACAUCAUGUUCGAGACCCUGUGCUAGGGACUGGGAGAUUCCAAUGGUGGAGACUAACGGAGUAAGCUGCUAACCAAGCAGUUGAUGGCCUAAAGCUGGGAGAACAGGUGGGAAAAGCCAGAGAGAACAAAGCCACCACUUCUGUCGGGAGAUUCAAUUCCUCUGAGGCAAUCCUGUGGAGGUGGAGGUGAUGGAUCAUCGCUGCUUGCCAGACGAGGAAAAACCUAGAACAUGUUCAUUUUAUCCAUGCACGUGUACCUGUACACAUAUAUGCACACACAUAUACACACCUGAAUUCAGGACAAAGAGCAAAAUCAAGGUCCACGCAUUUCUUAUUCAGCACUUCUUCCCCAAGGCAUCCACAGAGCAGCCACAGUUGGCAUCGUUAGGUUUUUCCAGACCUUCUCGCAGAAAACUCUGCCUGGAGUAUCGGGUGACAGAGGAACCACUGCUAUUUUGUUUGUUCUUCAAAUUCCAUAUUGUAAAUUCCAGCCAAAAAAACCAACGAAGUAAAGAAUUGGGAACCUUGCAAGUUCCCACCUGGAAACAGUGAAUAUAGGGAAUGGAUCCCUGAGGGUACAAUUACCUCUGAACAAUUGGGUGCUGAGCUGGACAAGGAUAUCUGGCUAGUGGAAUUUUUGUGCAAAAAUCUUUUAUCUUUGUUAGCUCAUGUAAACUCCAAGGCCAUUCACUGUGUCAAGACUAUUGACACUUAUCCUAGGUGUUUACUUUUCAAGGCUUUGUCUUUUAUAAAGCCACCCCAGCCUCAGGGUUAAGAAGAAAUCAGGUUCUCUACUCUCACCCCACCCCCUGCCUCUUGCUUUUACAGUAUCCACUGUGGCAGUCCAGGACAACAGGUGAGCUAGUAAACACUGAAGGUGUGUCCUGACUGUCCACUCAAAGCCAAGGUAGACUGGUGAUCCACUAACAUCUUCAACUGCUUGUACCGAGUGGUCAGAAACUCAGGAGGACAUGUCUGUGCCUUUCUACUGCUGUGUCUAAGCAGCAGAGGGGAAUUCUAUGCUGGGCUUUAGCAGCCUCAGGACCCUUGCAGCAUCCUCUGAACCUCCCUGCUCUCCAGCUUCCCACCCUGAGCUUUUUUUCUGUUGAAAGUGGCUGGGGGUGACGGGGGAAUGGUGCAUCCACUUGAGGCACACAACUCCCACGCACACCUCCCUCUGUUUCUGUGGGAGCUGAGAAGCUGGGGGCCGAGAAGGCUGGCUGGGAAGGAAAGGCUGGGACUGAUCCUGCAAAGAUGGGGCAGGAGGUGGUGCUUGUAAGCAGGGAGCUUUGGUUUUAAUGAAUAAAAUCUAAAAACCCCAAGUUCCCACCUGGGGACCUUGGGGUCAGUAGGUGGAAUCCAGUUUGGUCAAAGGGUAAUCAUUCUCAUCCUUUAACUGAAAACCUUCUCCCUCUCUCCCAACCCCCUAGCCCUAGAACAAUACUAUUUUCAAAAGGUUUGGUUUGGGCUUCACACGGUGCACUAGUUGUUGUGAGUGGCAAAGAAAAAAAAAAAAAAAGAGCAUUUUCCAUUUAAAAAAUGAGCCUCAAAUUCACUAGUUCUUCCUCAAGCCAAAAGCUUCUGACUUGCACUGGCUUCUCUCUAAUGGAUAAUGGGUAGUUUUUCAUACUUUGAAAAACACUGCUUUUUUUUUUUUUUUUUUUUUCCCCUCUCCGGUUGAGUAAGCUCUUGCAAGUGGGAUUAAACAAGAAACGCCAUUUCUCAUGGAAAUGGCUUUAUUUCCAUUAUACCCACACUGGCUUGUUUUCAGAGUGGCUCAGACGUGCUGGACAAUGUAUCCUGAAUUGAGGAAGAAAAGGGAGAUGGUUGAAACCUUUGCUUUGAGGGAAGAAACCCAGCAAAGAGAUCUAUUCAUUCGCAUUGACCUUGGAGAUAGAUAUCACGUAAUGCUACAGUUUAGGCCUAAUUAUUUGUGGAGGAGCAAGCAGGGCUCCUGUUCUGUGUUUUGUAGCCAUGGACCUCCCCUCUGCUGGGUGCCCCAGUAUCGGGUGCCGCUCACGAGCGGGCCGGGUGUGUUUGAUGGGUGCUGACACGGCCUGGUCACAUUCCCUCUCAACAGAGCUGUCCUUAGCAGCCAGCCUGGUGUCAUUGGUGAUGCCACAGAAUAACAUGUAUACCUGCCUGUAGGAUAACACCGGGUUUCUACCUGGUUCCCUUCUGAGAUACUUCCAGCCUGCAAGAGGAUCUGAUUGCACUUUAGAUUUACUUAGGUAGCCUUCACAAAUAUUGAUUCACGUUGAAACCUCCUAAAAGAAAUACACCUAGCUCCACCCCAGAUCAAUAUCACAGAAUCAUGUGGGGAUGGAUCCUGGGCAUGAUCAACAUUAAAAAAAAAAACAAAAACUCAGGUGGGUGCC